UACGUAGGAUGCGAGCGUUGUCCGGAUUUACUGGGUGUAAAGGGAGCGCAGGCGGAUUGGUAAGUCAGUGGUGAAAUCCUCAGGCUCAACCUGGGAACUGCCACUGAAACUGCUAAUCUUGAGUGUGGAAGAGGUCGAUGGAAUUCCUGGUGUAGCAGUGAAAUGCGUAGAUAUCAGGAAGAACACCGAUGGCGAAGGCAGUCGACUGGUCCAUUACUGACGCUCAUGCUCGAAAGCGUGGGGAUCAAACAGG
rnacentral:rRNA from 1 species